UCUGCAAUCGGUAGAGAUCCGUNUUUCCCUUCGGGGACAGAGUGACAGGUGNNGCAUGGUUGUCGUCAGCUCGUGUCGUGAGAUGUUGGGUUAAGUCCCGCAACGAGCGCAACCCUUGAUCUUAGUUGCCAGCAUUUAGUUGGGCACUCUAAGGUGACUGCCGGUGACAAACCGGAGGAAGGUGGGGAUGACGUCAAAUCAUCAUGCCCCUUAUGACCUGGGCUACACACGUGCUACAAUGGAUGGAACAAAGGGAAGCAAAACCGCGAGGUCAAGCAAAUCCCAUAAAACCAUUCUCAGUUCGGAUUGCAGGCUGCAACUCGCCUGCAUGAAGCCGGAAUCGCUAGUAAUCGCGGAUCAGCAUGCCGCGGUGAAUACGUUCCCGGGCCUUGUACACACCGCCCGUCACACCACGAGAGUUGGUAACACCCGAAGUCGGUGAGGUAACCUUUUGGAGCCAGCCGCCGAAGGUGGGACCAAUGAUUGGGGUGAAGU
rnacentral:rRNA from 1 species